rnacentral:tRNA from 1 species
AAAACUUUAAGUUAAUAUAAACUAAAAACCUUCAAAGUUUUCAAUGAAUAAUUUCAAGUUUUG